rnacentral:rRNA from 1 species
AACGAACGCUGGCGGCGUGGAUAAGACAUGCAAGUCGAACGAGAGAAUUGCUAGCUUGCUAAUAAUUCUCUAGUGGCGCACGGGUGAGUAACACGUGAGUAACCUGCCCCCGAGAGCGGGAUAGCCCUGGGAAACUGGGAUUAAUACCGCAUAGUAUCGAAAGAUUAAAGCAGCAAUGCGCUUGGGGAUGGGCUCGCGGCCUAUUAGUUAGUUGGUGAGGUAACGGCUCACCAAGGCGAUGACGGGUAGCCGGUCUGAGAGGAUGUCCGGCCACACUGGAACUGAGACACGGUCCAGACACCUACGGGUGGCAGCAGUCGAGAAUCAUUCACAAUGGGGGAAACCCUGAUGGUGCGACGCCGCGUGGGGGAAUGAAGGUCUUCGGAUUGUAAACCCCUGUCAUGUGGGAGCAAAUUAAAAAGAUAGUACCACAAGAGGAAGAGACGGCUAACUCUGUGCCAGCAGCCGCGGUAAUACAGAGGUCUCAAGCGUUGUUCGGAAUCACUGGGCGUAAAGCGUGCGUAGGCUGUUUCGUAAGUCGUGUGUGAAAGGCGCGGGCUCAACCCGCGGACGGCACAUGUUACUGCGAGACUAGAGUAAUGGAGGGGGAACCGGAAUUCUCGGUGUAGCAGUGAAAUGCGUAGAUAUCGAGAGGAACACUCGUGGCGAAGGCGGGUUCCUGGACAUUAACUGACGCUGAGGCACGAAGGCCAGGGGAGCGAAAGGGAUUAGAUACCCCUGUAGUCCUGGCAGUAAA